rnacentral:rRNA from 1 species
UACGGAAGGGGCAAGCGUUGUUCGGAAUCAUUGGGCGUAAAGGGCGCGUAGGUGGUUCUGUAUGUCUACCGUGAAAGCGUACGGCUCAACCGUAUUUUGUCGUUAGAAACUGCAGGACUUGAGGCUGGGAGGGGCUGGUGGAAUUCCCUGUGUAGCGGUGAAAUGCGUAGAGAUGGGGGAGAACACUCGUGGCGAAGGCGGCCAGCUAGACCAGUUCUGACACUGAGGCGCGACAGCGUGGGGAGCAAACAGG